rnacentral:sRNA from 1 species
UUGUAUCAGGAUCGCCCCCCGUCAGCGAGGUUUCGCCCACGGGGGUCAUGGUG